AUCUGACGUGUUGACAGCAAGAACAGCAAGCACUACCCCUUAAACAAAAUGUUUAGGAACUUCACAUAUCAUACAAACGAACACAAACAUAAAUGUGUCAUUCUCAAGGUGCCCUUGCCACUGGCUGAGUACCAUGAGGAGUGAGUACCUUUGCCAGACUAACUAACCGGUUCCAAAAAUGAUGUACAAGCAUCCACGCAGCACAAGAGACAAAUAAGAUAAGCAAAAAGUUAUCGGAACAACUCCAUUACCAAUAACUCUGAAGCUUUAUCAAAUCCAAUCAAACCGAAAUAAAAGGUAAAUCAUGGUGAGACCUCGUCCCUCCCACUUUUCAAGAUACAUACCUUAGCGAGAGAGAGCGAGAAGAUCGAGAGUAAGUCAAACUCGUUUUGCAACCAACCAGAUAUUCACCACAGAAGUACAUGUACAUAUGUAUGUAUGUGCACCUAUGUACAUAGUAUAGUCGAAUGUCCAUACUUAGCUUUAUACAAUACAUAGCUUUAUAUACGUAGGUUUUCAAGAGUGUUGUUGGGGGGCUCGUCAACAUCACACACGGAGAGAAGAGCAUACACAUACUCGUACACUUUUGCUUACAUUUUUAGAUAAGUAUUUCAUAAGAACUAUUUUCUAUUUCACGUGGGCAUUCAUAUUUAAUAACAAUGUGGCUAGGUUUUCAGUGUAUUAAACUCUUCCUUUCUCUAUUUAUUCCAUUUCUGUUCAUCCGUAUCUACGGUCGUAGUGUUGAGUUGAUUGCCCUAGGGCACUUUAGUCUCAAUUGUCUGCUCUCCCGACACUUGGAGGAGGAGGCCUGCCGUUUAAGAAAUUCUAG